rnacentral:misc_RNA from 1 species
CUGCCCUCAAGCACGGCUUGUGUGUUGGGCCACCGUCCCCCCGGGGACGGGCCCGAAAGGCAGCGGCGGCACCGCGUCCGGUCCUCGAGCGUAUGGGGCUUUGUCACCCGCUCUGCAGGCCCGGCCGGCGCUGGCCGACGCUUCGCACCGAAGCAACCAACCUUCUCUCCA